UAUACCCCACUAACAGCCAUGUGGAUGUUCAUACUGUCCUGUGAGUCACCUGCACAUCUGCUGUAGCAGCGUUAUGAGUGUUGAAGCAACAAAAAGCACUCAGGAACCUCCUGUAUUGCUGCCUGACCUGGAAGUAGAAGAGAAGAGGGCCACAGGUGGUCAGAUGGUGUACUGAACAUUUUAAUUUAAUUUAAAAAGUAAUGCAAGUACAAAAUGUUUAAAUUUGAUUAAAGUUUGGAUGAAAUCGAAGCGCUGAGUGCUGACCUCUUGGUUGAGCAGACAGUGGACCAGGAAGAUGAAGGCCCCCUGCUGGGAGCUGAUGAACUCAAAGACAGUAUACAGCAGAUUAUUAUUAGUGGGGAUGAAGAGGAUUAUCCAGGAGCAGCCGAGGAUAAAAAACUGGGCCAGGCUUUUAAACAUCACACUUACUAUGAGUUUCGUAUCAUUGGUGUUCGUCACCUGUAAGUUCUCAUUUUUCAGGCGUACCAGAGUGAGGAUCAAGAGGAUGACGGUGACGGUGCAGAUCAAAGCAUUUGUCUGCGCAGGGGGAAGAAAAUAUUCCAGAUGAAUUAAUCUGAACAGCUGCGUAGCCGGAACGGCUUUGAGCAUAUGCGGCUUUUAAUUCUUUUCUGUCCGCAGUACUUACUCCAAGAAUAAUGCACGCAAUUAUGAUCGUCGUUGUGACCACAUUUAUUCUCCAGCUGCAUAAAAAAAAAAACAUGUAAUGCAAUACAUAAAAAAAAAAAAUUAUAAUUUGUUUGCUAUCCCAAAUGGAGCAUUUUCCUAUCACAGCACAUCCCCAAAUGAUUUAUUCCUCUCAUACCACAUCAAUCUGCUAAGAAUUGCUUAUUAAUUAAGAAAAAAAGAAAGAAAAAAUGAAACGAGAUAGGUUUUUAUCUGUUUAUAGUUACAUUUAACAUCGUGGAAUGUCCCUGAAACGAGUUAGUUCCGGUUCUCACUUAUGUUAUAGCAGCUAUAAACAGUAAUUCCCUCACCAGCCUUUCUUUUGAAGUUAAUACGACAAAAAAAAUGAAAUUAAUAUGCGUUCGCCAUGCUACAGAGAAACUCCAAACUUUACACUAAAGCCUACAGUGUUACCUCUGACUGUUACGAAAGCGCCGACACUGGAGACUCCUUCCGUAAACGUUUAAUAACUUCCUCCUUACAGAAAACUUCACCACAUCACCGAUUACACGUGUUUUACGUAAUUAAGCUGUUGCUAUUGAAAUGAUUACGUAUUAGAAGAGCUGCUGUUAUAGAAAAUUAAUCAACACCUUCUGACCAAUCACGAUCCCGAACUGAACAGCGCUGUGGAAUAAAUGUGAAUGAAAUCCUGUAAUGAACCCGGUCUCCUGCACUCACUCGAAAACAUCUGCAUUCUUUAGCGCGUACGUGACUGCCAGAACCAGGGGGAAAAUGUAACCAAUCGCCAUUAACCAUUUCCAGCUAAUCCUGUCCAUCUGGUUUAAUCUGGCCUUCGAUAGGUUCUUCACAAAAAUGAAGAGCAGCACGGCUUCGAUGAACAUCCAUAUAAACGCUGAGAAGUAGAAGAAUGAUAGCAUGACCUCCAGCCAUACACACUUUUUCUGUAGAAAGAGAGAUGGGGAAAAAAUAAGCGUAAUAAUUAGGAUUUAUGCGAUUUCUUUUUACCUGCUGAGAAUGUGAAGAACGUAGACGGCAGCGCUCACCUGUACAGGGCCUGUAUUGACGGAGUAAUGAUAUCUGAUUUGAUCGAGAAUUUGAGCCAACAGAAGGUUUAUACACAGGUUUAUCAGAGCCGUGUCGGUCAUCUUUUUGUUACGACGACAAAAGGCGAGUGUGAGUACCGACAAACUCAGAAAUAUCAUUCCCACUGCUAUGUUCACUGUGCUGAGCAUCACCAAGGAACUGUAAAUCUGGAAAGAUUAAAAGAAGCAAUUUUAUUCAAUCUCUUCCCCUCUCUGGAAGACUCGUUUUCACAGUAUGCUCUUACAGAUCAUUCAGUAUCCACGCGACGCACUCAGUACAGCUCAUCAUUUCUCUUCUACACCUGAGUACCAACACGCCAUUAUUUUCAUAUUACAACAUGUCUCAUAAUCACUUAUUGCACUUAAACCACAGCAAUUUUACAAUGAUUACAUUCAUUCCUUCAUUCAUUCAUUCAUUCCGUCAUUCCUUCCUUCAUUCCUUCCUUCCUUCCUUCAUUCCGUCAUUCCUUCCUUCUUUCAUUCUUUCCUUCCUUCAUUCAUUGAUUCCUUCCUUCAUUCCUUCCAUCCUUCCUUCCUUCCUUCAUUCCUUCCUUCAUUCAUUCCUUCCUUUAUUCCUUCCUUCAUUCAUUCCUUCCUUCAUUUCCCUGGUCCUGAUGUGGAGCCUAUCCCGGGAACACUGGGUGGGACACCAGUCCAUCGCAGUGCACCAUGCACACACACACACACCUUCACACUCAUUUACACCCAAGGGCAAUUUAGUGUAACCAAUCCACACUGUAAAACCGGAUAAGUUAAUUUAACUUUUUAUAUUUAAGUGUAUUUGGCUUAAAGAAAUUGAUUUGUCAACUUUAAAAUUUUGAGGUAAUUAGUUUCCUUGAAUUUUUUUGAGUUAAAUGAAUUUAUCUGGUUUUACAGUGCACCUACUGAUUUUUUUGUUUUUUUUUGGGGGGGGAGGAAACCAGAGAACCUGGAGGAACCUCAGACAGGCACAGGGAGAAGACGUGGAACUCCACACACUCAGCAACCCGAGCUCAGAUUAGACCCGAGGAACCCCGGAGCCAUGAGGCAGCAACGCUAACUGUUGUGCCCCAAUGAUUAUAGUUUAUAACUAUAAAAGUAAGAUGCAUCAUAUUUGUUAUCCGUUUAUUGUUACAUUUCAUCUCGUAAACGGUCCGAAUAACAAAUAACGAACUUUGUGGUGGUAAAAGUAACUUCAUCACUCCACCCUGGUCACGCUGUAUUUUACUACACAGUGUUUUAUUCUUUUUUCCUGAAGAAACUUGCACUUGAGCUAUGGGCCUUGCUCAAGAGCCCAGAAGUGACUGCCUGAACUCACAACCAUCUGAUCAAUAGCCAAAAGCUGUACCUCUGGAGCCACCAUGUCCCCACUUGUACAAAAACGUGAUUGGUAUUACACUUUGUAGCAACUGCUAUGUUCAAGAAAGAAAAAACCCCAAAAAACAUAGUAACUCCUCCAAUCGCUACUGGGUGUGCUAACUAAUUUGCAGAGCUCCAUGUUUAAAGUUCGAGAUCAUCUGCUUUGAAACCAUGUCUUUUCUGCACAGUACUUCUACCAAAUAUCACUUCCCCAAAUCAUUUUCUGGGUUAGUCAUCGCCAAUCUCCACUGUGGAAGGGUUUGGUGAAGGCCUCCUCUGAGACUCAUGGAACCAACCACUGGCUCUAUUUCAAUACAGGAUAGUGCUUACAGUAUCCUGCUCUCUUCCCAUGAUCGGGUCGAGCUCAGCGAUGAGAGCGAAGGUACCCAGAUGACGACAAGAGCACACAGUGUGAGUGCUGUUUUUCUCUGUGUUCUUACAACCACCUUUGAACCACUCAGUUUCCUUCCAGUACACACAGGAGAGAAUGCCUUCAGGGUCCAACUCCUAGUGCGGAAGAAGAGGGAAUCAAAUCAAAUCUGAAAACUGGUUGUGUUUGUCUUAUUGAGAAAAAAAAGAGAGGCUAGGGGAAGGAAUGGCUGCGAUAACGAAAACAGUGUGUCCUCAAAUAUGGUCCAAAUGCAGCUAUCUGGGAUAUAUAUAUAUAUAUAUAUA